ensembl:miRNA
GAGGUGGGGGAUUGCUUGAGCCCAGGAGGUUGAGGCUGCAGUGAGCUAUGAUCAUGCCACUGCACUCCAGCCUGAGUGACAGAGUGAGACCUUGUCUCA